rnacentral:rRNA from 1 species
UACGUAGGGUGCAAGCGUUGUCCGGAAUUAUUGGGCGUAAAGAGCUCGUAGGCGGCUUGUCACGUCGACUGUGAAAACCCGGGGCUCAACUCCGGGCCUGCAGUCGAUACGGGCUGGCUUGAGUGCGGUAGGGGAGACUGGAAUUCCUGGUGUAGCGGUGGAAUGCGCAGAUAUCAGGAGGAACACCGGUGGCGAAGGCGGUUCUCUGGGCAUUACCUGACGCUGAGGCACGAAGGCCAGGGGAGCAAACGGG